CCGAGUUGGUAUUCGGACAUGAUGUCGAUUCAUUAGCUUAACCUACAGGAGUCGACUGCUGAGGAGAUAUCGACAGCCAUGAGUGAGAGUUACCAAGUGAUAGUCGACGGGCUUUUAUUUGCUCAAGAUGCGAAAGGACAAUAGAACGGAUAUCGAGGUUCGAUCGAUGAUAGAGUGACAGUGAUUACGAUCCACUAGGGGUCGAUGAGGGC
rnacentral:lncRNA from 1 species